AACGCUGGCGGCGCGCUUAACACAUGCAAGUCGAGCGAUAACCAGUCCUUCGGGACUGGGGACAGCGGCGAACGGGUGAGUAACACGUGGGUGAUCUGCCCUCGAUUCUGGGAUAGCCCGGGGAAACCCGGAUUAAUACCGGAUAGCCUCGCUGGUCUACGGGCCGGCGAGAAAAGGUAGCUUCGGCCUCCGAUCGAGGAUGAGCCCGCGGCGGAUUAGCUUGUUGGUGGGGUAACGGCCUACCAAGGCGACGAGCCGUAGCUGGUCUGAGAGGACGAGUAGCCACACUGGGACUGAGCCACGGCCCAGACUCCGACGGGAGGCAGCAGUGGGGAAUCUUGCGCAAUGGGCGAAAGCCUGACGCAGCGACGCCGCGUGGGGGAAGAAGGCCUUCGGGUUGUAAACCUCUUUCAGCAGGGACGAAGCCACUCGGGUGAAUAGCCCAGAGGGUGACGGUACCUGCAGAAGAAGCCCCGGCUAACUACGUGCCAGCAGCCGCGGUAACAC
rnacentral:rRNA from 1 species